AGUUACAGAUGGGGCUUCUAACCUUGUGGCAGCUGGAGAAUGUUAAUGGAAAAGAGAACCAAAUUAUUUUGGUCCCCAUAUAGGCACACACUUCCAGUACUUUUGUUUUUACAGUUCUUUGGUGGGAGAGUUAUGGGGGAGAAGAAGGUAAAGAGUUACAAAAGGGAGCCAUGAAAAUUUUGAGCCUCACAUGUAGUGCAACAGGGUAUGAAAAGAAUUGGAGCACAUUUGACCAAGUGCAUACUAAGAGAAGAAAUAGAUUGGAACAACAAAGAUUAAAUGCUCUUAUGCGUGUGAAGUACAAUCUUCAGCUUGAGAUGAGACAAAAGGGAAGAGAAGGAGGAAACUUAUGAUCCCAUAUGUUUGUCGGAUAUUGAAUUGGAUGAUGAAUACAUCACUGAAAAGGAAAAUUCUUGUUUGCCUAUUGAUUCCUCAUGGAUGGAUGCACAUGAGUGCUUUGCUGUUGAAGAGGAAACUCCAAGUAAAAAAAAAGGAAGCGAGGUAAUUAUGUCUAUUUAGAAACUUUAGAAGUUAGAACUUGAAAUGUAAGUUCAACAAACUAGAACUAAAAUUUAUUUGUUUUUCUUUUACUAAUAUAAGUCCUAGAAACUUAAAUGCCAAGACCAAUAAAAAUGGAAAAUCCAUAGUAGGAGAUGAGGAAGAAGUUGAGGACAUUGAAGGGGAAGAGCUUUUAAUAGAAGAUGAAGAUGACUUAAGUGAUGUAGAUCUUGGAGAGGAAGAGGAUGGAAUAUGAAUGACUAGGAUAUAAUUUUUAUUUUUUUUUGAGAUUGUUUAGUAUGUACAAGCAACAACCAUAGUCUGCCGUAAUUAUGUGGUAGCAGCAACAACACUUAUUUUGAGGAAGACUAUAAUGCAAAUUUGUUUAGUAGCAUAUAGCCAUGGUUAUAGAAAUCUUAUGCACCAACCACACCUUUUUUGAAGGUUGUGUUGCUGAAAUUGUGUAGUAAAUACACAGAUACAACCACUUUUUUUGAUUGAGGUUGAUUUCUUAUUAAUUGUAUCUUUGCAUGUUUAUACAUCUUAUAUAUUUAAGUAUAUGUUACAUUUUUUCAAUGUUUAUGAAUCUUACUAUUCACGAUAUAAAACAAUUCAUGAGUCAAAAUAUAAGCUCUCUGAUACAUAAUUUGUAUCUCGAUUCAACUACCAUGCCCAAAACUAACAUCAUAACCAAGGUAGAUGCUGAUAAAAACAGAAAGGAAGGAUGUAGGCAUCUUCCAUAUGUGUUGCCUUGGUAUUAAAAUUCAACAUUUAUGAAAAAUCCAGACUUUCUAUGCUAACUAAAUACUGAAUAUACAAGAAACCAUUCUUACAUUCAAAUUUCUUGGAUGAAUAACUACUUAAAUAAAGCAAUAUAAGCAUUAAAAUCAGAGAAAUAAAAAAAAUAUAUAAAAUGUACCAGAGGCCCCUAUUCGGUUGAGGUAGACCAAAGUUGCAAUGACCAUUCCAGUUGUGGUUCGACCACGCCCCAUUUGACAAUUAAAAAUUAUCUCCGUGUCUACAUCAGCUUGAGAAAUUUUAUUAACCUAAAAUAAAUAAAUAAAUAUGAAAAGUAUGAGUUUUCAAUGUCAAUAAAUAUUGUAUGAAAUAUAAAAGCUACGAGUCCUAACAAUUAAGCACUGUUCAGCAGCAUCAGCAGCAGCUCAAUGACAAGACAAUAGAGAAGGACACUACAUCACCCAACCCCUUGAUGCACCAAAAGAAUAUGUAUGCAGAAAGUGAUACCAAAUGUGAUAGAGCAUAACAAAUACACACAAAAUACUAACCAAGAUAUCAAAAUCCAUUUCCUUUGGAGAUUUUUCAUCAGUUAUAGGAACGCGUUCAUAAUCAACAAGAUAUCCCGCUACUUGCAAUUCCUCAUACACCUACAGCAAAGAAAAAACCUUGAUGCAUUUGUAUCAGAAAAUUGAUCAAGAAAUCUCAAACUGCCAUCAUAUACUAGUUUCAGCCAUACCUCUAGUGGUGUCUUCACAGAAUUACAUGACACCGGCUCCCAUUGGUCCACCAUCUGCCCAUCUGGCAGUUCAUCAGUCACAAGAAUCUUAUUUCCAUAUCUGUCGUAUCCAUGUGCAAAUAAGAUUAACAGUAAAGCAUAAAGAAAACCACAGAUUCACAGGACAAGCACGGAGCAAAGCCACAAAAAUACCUUGCUGCCUCCACCAGGAUGUCUUCUUUCAAACGAGCUUCCAUUUGUUCAACCCUUUCUCUGUUAAUUCCCUAAUCAAGUACAGAAUGCCCCACAAGUUAACGGACUCAAUUCAAACCAACUUGCAGUGUAAGCAUCAGCUAAAUUGAAAGCCAGCACAGAACUGAUAUGCACCGCCAUAACAUACCGUAUACUCAAGGUUUGAGAACGGCCUCUCCACAUCACGCAAAACAAAAGGACGACCAUUAAUGUAGGCAAGCUGAUUCCAACAAAGGAAGGAAAUAAUAAGUAAGGAGAAAACAUUAUCACAAACAUCCAGCAUCAAACUAACAAUACUUAGCCUAAACUCAAGUACUACUCAUGCAACACAGGAGUUAGUUUUAAAAACCCAAACUCCUUGAAGUCAGCCAUAGGUUAAAUUAAAAUAAAAAUAUAACACACCGGUUCCUCACGAAGGCUAAUCCAGAGAACUUUCAAUCGAGCACCAAUGUGGUCGAGAACGUUUCGAAUUCCAUCAAUGGUUGGAAUGGCAACACCGUGAACAUGCAACGAGUCCGAUGCCUAACAACAACAACAACAACAACAACACUAACUACCUGAUUAAAAAAAAUUAUAAAAAAAAAAAUAGAUGAAUUAGCAGAAGACGAAAAGACGAAGAAGACCUACCUGUCGAUAAUUGGGAGCGCCUUCGAUCUGAGGCGACAAACGUUUGUUCUGGCAACCAGGGAAAUGGUCGCUCUUUAGAAUCGUCCUCUUCCCCAAGACACCUCCUCCUCUCAUCUUCAUCACCUGCUCCGGCUCCUUCGGUAUCUGCGACAUCGAACCAACUCACUCUCUUCUCUUCCAAUUGCAAAUCCAAACACCCAAGUCUUCACCACGCUACUCGUUUCUCUCUACCCUCACACACACACACAACACUUCUCACAAUUGCAACUGAAUUUUUCUCUCUCUACCUCCCGCGGAUUUCCAAUUAUCUUACAUAAUUAUUUAUCUCAUAGCUUCUCCUCACUUUACGACUUACUCAAUUUCUGAAACCAACACCAACAACGUGAAAGACGUGAGUGAGUGAAGAGUGACGACGAAAGCCGUGUGAGCUCAAUGUGAUCGAGCUUAUAAACACGAAUCUUCCCUGAUUUUAUUUCUUUGUUAAUCAACCUGUUUAACGUGUUUGCUUAUUUAAUUCUCAUUAAUAUUAUUCUCAUUUUUAAAAUUAAAAAUACAAAAGCACUUCUUAUUUCUCAGGUUGCGAUUAAUGCUUAACUUAUAGCUUAUGCUGUGGAUAUUCUCUUCCCUGUCUCGUUUGCGCUUUCUCCCUCCACCUUACCACCUUUUUCCUUCUCAACGACCCAUUUAUAUUCACCACACAAAAAAUUCUCACCUACACAAAUUUAUUACGCAAAGGAAUAAAAUAUACGCUCAUAUCUUCUGGAUAAUGCUGCAACUCAAAUGGAUUUGAUGAUUCAUCGUUAUCGUACACACUUAUUUAUGUGCAACUAAAAUAUCAAAAACGAAACUAACUUUUUCCUUCUUUCAUUAAGUUAAUCAAAGUAAUUUACAAAUUAUUAAAGUGACUAACCUAUUCCUAUAAUCUACUAAAAAAGUAAUUAAUUAAUUAAUGUUUAUACACAUGGGAUAAAAUUUAUCCAAUGAAAUACCACAAUUUAAAAAUUCCAUUACGUGGCCGAAUGACUGGUCCAUUAAUUUAUGUGUAUACACGUGACCGAAUGACUGGUUCAUUAACUAUACAAAAUAAAAUAAAAAAGAAUUCAAAAUCGUUAAAUUCAUACAGAGGAAACAAAAGUGCGGAUAAAAUCUGUUUGAAUGUAUUUUCCAAUAACACAUUUUGAAUCCUGAAUUUAAUUUAAAAUGUUUUUUUUACUAUGACAGACAGAGUUUAUGUGUAGAUAAAGAACAUCUAACGAACUCAAAAUGACAAAUAAUUUAUAAUUAACGUGAAUUAAUACACCUAAUUAAUUCUUAAUUUUAGAAUAAAACAAAAUUAACCUAAAAAUCAUGAUAAUUUUAGAUUCAAUAUAAACAAUAUUCUUGUUAUAAUCUUUUGCAACUGUCUUCAUUCUAAUUGAGAUUAAAAAAAUAAAAAUUCUAAAAGAACUGAUGGUGGAAGAUACUAGUGUUUAUCAAGAUAGAGAGAAGACGACUCUAAUCCAUUAAAAAAACAGAUUUUAAGAAGAAAAAAAAGGUAUAUGUAAUAAAACUUAUUAGUUUUUACAAAUUAUUUUAUCAAUUUUCUGCAAAACGUAUAAUUUAGUUACUUAUAUUAAUGUAUAUUUCUUGCAUUUUAAUUUCUUAUAGAAUUGCAUAAUUCUAACGUAUUAUUUUGAUUUUCAUUUUCUAUGAAAACUUGUAAUUUUUAAUGGAAAUUGUUAUGUUUUAUUAAAAUUUAAAUGUAAAUAUUAUGAUAUAUUUCAUUGCAAUUUUUUUGUUUAAUUUGAAUGGUAAUAAACUUUAUAUAGCAAUAAUUUUGUGUUUUGAUCUUAUAUGUAAAUUUCUAAUGGUUAAUGGAAUGAUUGAUUUUAUUAAAAUUUAAAUUUAAAUAUUAUGACAUGUUUCAUUUAUAUUUGUAUGGUUAAUUUUGAAUGUUAAGAAUAUAAAAGUGAUGUUUUCUUUUAGUAGUUGAAAUUUUAUAGUUACUAUAUCGAUUAAACUAUUAAUCUAUUGGCCACAUGUUCAACGACCAUAUAAAAAAAAUAAAAAAAAACAAAUAUAUAUAAUAAUAAUAAUAUUUUUUAAAAAUAACGUGAUCCUCCAAAAAAAAUUGCAUAGAAAAAGUCCCGUGCUUUACAUAACUAUCCACUUGUUACAUCACACGUGUAGAUAAUGAAUUGAGUCAAGAUCCAAUCUUUUAAUGUCAAUAUUUUGAACUCCAACUUCAAACCUAAACAAAAUUAUUUAAUAAUGCUAAUAUUAAUAUUAAUAAUGAAAUUAUUAUUAUUUAUUUAUUUUUUCCCAUUAAUUAAACAUGUAUUUAAAAUAUUUAAUUAUUAAAACAUUACAUAAUAUAGUAUAUUUUUAAAAAAAUAUUAUUCUAGAAUAUGUAAUUAAAAAAAUAUUUUGAAAUUAUAAGGUUUUAUGAAAAAAUUCAAAACGUUUAAACCAAUAAACUCAACCUAAUAUAACUCGAGAAUAACUUUAUUCGAAUUAAGUAUAAUAAUAAAAAGCAGAUAAAUCCAAUUUAAUUCAAAUUUUAUUAGGUUAAAUGGUGGAUUUGUUGAAACCACGUCAUUCAUAUUAAAAUAGGUAGAUAAUAUCAAUGGAAUAAAGAAACGUGGAAAAAAUGGCAAUUAGUGGGUCCCGAGAUUAGUUGGUCCAAUGGCCAAGAAUAUUUUAGAGGGCCCAACAAACAUGCCUCAUUAAUUAGUUUCUCACAACAAUAUAAUAAAAAAAUUAACUUACAAAAUAAGCUGCCACUGCCUGAUUCUGAGUAAGCAAUUUUGAACCCAAAUUAGAGUUAAAAUUCCCCGUUUCUAGGUUUAAAUAUACGAACAAAUUAAGAAUAAAAAUAUAUAAAUGGAGGACAGUUCUUAUCUUGUAAAAUGUAGAAUUGAAUUUAAACUAAACCCAAAUUAUAAUGAUAGAUAUUAUUUUGUUUUGUUUAACUAAUCAACAUUGUUAGUUUUCAAUUGUAUUUUUGUUUGCCAAAACAAAAUAGUUACUUGUGUUGUUACGUAAGUUGCACACUAUCUAUAAAUAAUAACACAGCUGAAUGAAAUAAUGCGCGUGUGAAGGGGUAAUGGAAGUGAAAUAAAUUAAUGGAAAGUUGUAAGAGAGAACGUGAAGGACGUGGUGGGGAGCAACUGGUUUUAUAAUUACUUUGAACUGAUUUCACCAUAAAGAAAUUGACUAGUGAAUGCUUACACACAAAUGACAGAGGUUUUCUUAGGUGAAGUUGGGUUUUAGAUGCAAUUAAUUAAUGUCUUAACGACCCAUUUGCUGUGUUGUUUUAAGAAAGCAGCGUAGAUUCUCUCACCACCUUUACACCCUCUUUUAGGAGCACUGUUCCAUCACUUUCAUUCUUUAUUUGUGAAAGCAACAUGUGUAAAAAAAAAUAUUCAGAAAAGAAAAACUAGAGACAAAAGCAGGUGUCACUUCACUCUCAUUCUUUCAGAGGUUGUGAAAUUAUCCUAUUCAUGGCAAAUUAGCCAAAAUUGGUGGCACUUUGUCAAGAGUGUCGCAUAAGGAAGUGCCAUCAAUUUCCUGUUAAAAUGAGGUAGGUUGCGUUGCGUAACGAGGAAGAGGUCUUGGAUCGUAGUACGUUGGGGAGAGGUACAUAGCAAUUAUUUGAGGAGUAGAGUAGGGUGGAAUAGAGUAGAGAGACCCUUUUUGUUAAGUUGUCAACUUCAUUUCCCUCUGCAUGCACUCACACUCAGUCACGUUGUGCUUUGUUUAUCUGGAUAACUAAUGGAGACAACCACACAUGCACAUCUAAAGAUCUUCUGAACCACCAUUUGCUUUUCCACCUGCUAUACACAUUACUGCAAUACCACUGUUAGAUCUAAGAAAUAAAACAAAAUUGUACUUCCAUGCUCAACUUUUUAACCAAUUUCCUCCUUUAUUUUCUAACUCUUACGGUUAAGUUAAUUUGAUUAGUUCCAAGUAUUAAUGCUUAUAUGUAUAAUUGUUAUUUCAGCUCAAAAUAUUGUCUUGUGUAGUUUCCUUAUUCCUUAUUAAAUGUAGAAUUUUUUAACAAAAAAGCCUUUAUUUAUCUGUCAUUAUCAAAAUUCAUUGCUGUGUUCUCUUGUAAGUAUAGUAUCUUUUGUUUUUUUUGUUUUUAUUUAAAUCUCAUUUUCAAAAUUCAAAACAAUAUUAAUUAUUCUCUUACUAUUUAUACCCUGAUCUUUCGUAUAAUUUUUAAUUAGUUUAUCUAUGCAUAUUUAUUAUUAUAUAAAAAAAAGUAAAACAAAAAAUCUUAUAAAUAUUUUAUUACUUCUAAAAGAAAGUUAAACGGAAUUGUGGAAGUAAUAUUUUGUACAAGUAACUGAUCUUGUACACGGCGGGGGGGGGGGGGGUGGGGGGGCUUGUAAACCAAGAAAAACAUCAUUACCACAUACUUUGAACAUAGUAAUCAUAAAAGUAGCGUGUUUCAUCCUACAGGCAGCAUUUAGUGCUGAUUUUUCGAUUUCAAUACCCAUACAUAAUAACAUAAUUGACAAGGUCAGCGUCAGCAUUUACAUUCAGAAUGAAACAGCAGCGUCAGCAUCCAUAUCAGUCACCUCUCUUACGAGGUUUUUGGUAGAAGGCAAACCAGCAGUUACCUCCUCUUCAAUCCCGCAUUCGUUUGUCCCCCUUCGGAUCUUGAAGUAACCAUCCUGCGGUUAAGAUUAAAUUAGUCCAUCAUUAGCUAAGACACAACUUAAGUAACAGACAUUCCAGUUGAAGAAAUAAAUCAAGAAACAUACAUCUCCCCAUUCUCUGUUCCACUGAUUUGCGAGAAGCUGAAACAAUGAAAAGUAUCCAAUCAGUAUAUAAAUCUGAAUUUCAGAUAGUAUCCCCCAGGGAACUGAAAUGUAAAUAAGGAACAUAUCAACAUACCCAAUAGUCUUGUCCAUCAUCAGUUGUUCCCCACCCAAUUAGCUUCACUGCAUGACCGCCUAGUGCAUAACCUGUGACGUGUUUGUAAACUCCUGACUUGUAAUGAGCAAAAUCCUGUGAAGAGGUCAAAUUAGUAAAAGGCAAACUUGUCUUAAAGCAACCAAGCAAACUGCUCAAUAUGCUUGAAACUAUUCACAGAAGAAAACAAAGGUUAACGUAAUGUUUAGGGUUUAGGAUUUAUUAUUUAGUGUCUAGGGUUUAUGUUGGAGGUUUAGACACUACAUGCAAAAUGAUGCAGGUAACAGUCACAGAUGCUUUAGUUAGUUGAAAGGUCAUGGGCAAGGAGGGGCCCUUGGAAAUGCUUUAACGGGAAAGAUGCUAUUCUAAUCCUGCUCGAAUGAUGGGGACAAGAAAGUGACAUAAGUUGUAGUUGCAAGAUUUUAACUGCAUGUAAGAGACCAAACAAUAAAUAAAUGACUCCUAUAGGUCAAUGCUUUUAAUAAAGAGAAUCCAAUGACUCAAAAAUAUGCUAAAGGGGCUUAAUAGCUAGGGGGUGACCAAUGCAACAUAUAAUAGGGCCAGGUUGUUGUAAGGCCUUUUCUAUUUUUGGCAAGCUAAAAUUGUGUCUCCACCAGUUAUGAUUGAUAAUACUAGUUUCUGAUUUAAAACUGUUACUUUCUAUCCUAAUGUCAAUCCACAACCCAAAGUAUAAAAGAUGACAACUGCCCCCAUUUUUGUUCUGAUAAAGAAAGCAACCAAAUAAAGAGGAAAAAAGAAAAAGAAAAAAAAAUCAGAGAACGGAGAAGAAACAAAAGAAUAAAUCUUUUAUGUCAAACCAUUUCUUUUGUUAAUGCAUAAAUUACCAUGACUGCUCACUCCGUAUUUUAGCAGACUGAAUGCAAGGAAAUAAAUCCUAAUACGAAAACCCUUCCACAUAAUCCUUGUCCUAAUACGAUCCCUUAAUGAGCAUCAUAUAUACCCUUGAAAAGCCUACUACUUCUGGGUAUGUAUUAAUCAAGUGUAGGAAUGGAAUAUGAUCUUAGUUUACUUAGUACUUUUGGUCCAAGACCUUUUCCAUGUGAUUCAUACAAACAAACGCAUUUUAUUCCCCGUUUUUCUCAUUUGAGAAUUGAUAUUUUAUCUUUAUUUGUAAACCUUAACCUUAAACCCUCCAUGAAAGCCAAUAGCUCCAGACAUAUGCAUGAGUCAAAACCAGCCCCAAAGGAACCAUUAAGGAGAAUAAUAUACCACAGAAGAUGAGAGCAAUGACUAGCUAAUGCUGGUGAAAGCAAAGGGAUUAAUAAAAAGCAACAGACCUCAUCAGCACCAACAUUAGCCUUAUCAAAUAAAAGUAGGGCUACUUAGAUGCAUUUGCAAGUUUAAAGAGCAUACUUAAAAGAUAGGUAAAUCUGAAAAACAUAUAUGCAAAGACUUUAGAGGCACCCAGCUUAAUUGAAAGAAGAAGAAAGAUGAGAAUUGACAUAGAUCAGGAAUACGUGAAGAUCUAUGGAAUGAUAAAAUGGCACAAAAUGAACAACAUUUAGACAAUGAGAAGCUCGCGAUUAAGCAUGAAAAACCCAAAACACAUGGAAAAAAAAAGAUUCCCUGCUGGUUAUGUUUGGGGAAGUUAAUUGUAAUGUAUUGAAUCUCAGUCUAGCUAAAAGUAAGCACUAAUGCCAAUAUGACAAUUAAGGAGAAAACAUAAUAAGGAAAAGUUCAUAAUAAAAAUUGAAAAACACCGUGUUAUAAAAGAUUUUUUCUAACAUCACUAUAAACCCAACAACUUUAAUAUCUACUAAUUAUCACUCCAGUCCAUAUAUCUGAUCCCCAAUCAUUCUCCCUUCACAUAUAUUGUUUAAAGUUUUAAACCCAAAACAAUCCUCAAUCAUAUCAUAUUCAAUUUGCACACCCACUAGAUGCCAGUCCCAAAGUCGUGGGCCCAAUUAAAUAUAAAUAAUUUGUAUACAUUAUUAAAAAAUAUUUAGCAUAAAUAUAUUCUGAUUUGUACAACAUCUUUUGAAAUUUAGGAGAAUUGUAGCCUUCAUCUUAUAAGAUGAGGUUUGCACUCACUUAUACAUUAUGAAAUGUCCUAAUCUCUAGUCGAUGUGGGAUCUCCAUCACACCCUCACGUCAAGACUCUCAACUCGUGCGUGAGACUAUAUAUUAUGGGUGGUUCGAUAGCAGCUUGAUAAACCCAACAAACUCUCGCUAUGAUAGAUUCUAAAUGGCUUUGAUACCAUAUUAAGAAGUGAACUUUAAGCCUAACUCAACCUUAUAAAACUGGCUUAUAAGGCGAGAUUUGCACCAACUUAUAUACUAUGAAAUGUCCUAAUCUCUAGUCGAUAUAGGAUUUUCAACACUCACAACUCAUUAAGUUAAGACCAUUUUGAAAGGGAAAGGUCAUUUAAUAGAUGAUGCCUUUGCGGAAGAUGAUCCUACAUUCAAGUCUUGGGAUGAAGAAGACUCCAUGAUCAUGGCAUGCUUAUGGAAUUCAAUGGUUCCAGAAAUCAAUGACACAUGUAUGUUCCUCAAUUCAACAAAAGCAAUAUGGUUCACAAUAGAGGAAACAUAUUAUAAGGAAAAGGAUGUUGCACAAAUUUAUGAUGUGAAGGUGAAAACCAUGGCUGCCAAACAAGGCACCAAAACUAUUACUGAGUAUGCUAAUCGGCUUAAAGUUUUAUGGAUGGAAUUGGAUCACUAAGGAUUCAACAAUUCUAAAAAAGGACAUUGAAUAGGAUCAAGUGUAUAAUAUUUUGGUAGGUCCAAACAAAGAAUAUGAUCAAGUCAAAAUUCAAAUAUUGGGAGUCAUGGCAAUUAUUCAGGGUGAAUAAAGUAGGAGGAGUCUAAUGCUACAGACUCCUGUUGUAGAAAGUUUAGCAAUGGUUGCUAAAGGAACAACAUCCAUGGUCAGGACCAAAGAAAAGGAGUCUUACUUACAAAGAUGGAAAAGAAAAAUGAAGGAGUAUGGUGUACUUAUUGGUCUAUGUGGAUGAUAUCAUUGUUAUGGUAAAUGACUAAAAGGAGCAACAAAGGUUAAGACAAUGUCUUGGCAAAGAAUUUGAAAUCAAGACUUUAGGAAAGUUGAAAUAUUUUUUUAGAAUUGAAGUAGCUCAUUCCAAGAAAGGGAUCUUCACAUCUCAGCUAAAAUACAUUACAAAUUUGUUACAAGAAUCAGCCAAAACAGCCUGCAAACCAACAAGCACACUUAUUGAUCCAAAUUCAAAGUUGGGAAGUGCAGAGGAUGAUGUUGUUAUGGAUAAAGAAGUGUACCAGAGACUUGUAGGAAGACUUAGUUAUCUAUCUCACACUAGACCAGAUAUUGCUUUUGUUGUGAUCUAUAGUCAGCCAAUUUAUGCAUCAACUAAAGGAAGCACAUUUACAAGUUGCUCUUAGAAUUGUCCAAUAUUUGAAAGGAACACCAGAAAGAGGAAUUUUAUUCAGAACAAACAAGGGCAUAUAAUGAUGUUAGUUAGGUUCAGUUGUGUAUAGGAGGUCAACUACUAGAUAUUAUACCUUCCUUGGUGGAAACCUAGUAACUUGUUAGAGUAAAAAACAAAGUAGUGCUGAAGCACUCAAGGAAUAUGUGAAAUGUUAUGGCUUAAGAUUAUAUUGGAGGACUUGAUGAUAAAGUGGGAUGAACCUAUGAGGUAUAUAUUAUGACAAUAAAUCUGCAAUCACUAUAGCUCACAGCCCAGUGCAACAUAAUACUAAUAGAACUAAACAUAUUGAAGUGGAGAGACAUUUUAUCAAAGAAAAGCUUGAUAGUGGCAUGAUUUGCACUCCAUAUGUGUCUACUCAAGGACAGCUUGCAGACAUACUUAUCAGGGGGCUGAAAAACAGUAACUUAGAAAGAAUUCUAUUCAAGCUGAGAAAGGACACCAACUAGAGAGGGAAUAUCAAGAUAUUUUAGGAAGUUUCAAAUUUGAUUCCUUUUUAUUUUUUUAAUUUUGUAUAUUGGUUGUAUCUUGUUUUUAUUACUAGCAUAUCAAUCCCAUAAUCUCAAGGAUUUGUUUCCCAAAAUAGGCAGUGCUUGUUUCCAAAUUUAUCCAAUUAAUGUAUGUAUAUAAGAUGUAAGUAAAUGAAACUGAAUAAGAGAAAUUAUUUUCUUCUAAGCUUGAGAAUGGUAUCAGGAAGGAUGGUAAUGACAUUAAUGUUGCCCUUGAUGGUGGUAGUAACAAUGAUGGUGAUCAUAACGAGAAGGGUCUUUACCAAAAAUAGCAAGGGUAGGUUUUGCCAAAACUAAACCAAAUUUGCAAAUAAUUUUCUUGGUUUAGAAAAUGAAUGUAAAAAAGUUUCAAAAUUAAGUAAUAAAUCAUUUCAACUCCAUUUUGGCAAACACUUUCUGUUUUGAAAAAUGCAUUUGAAGAGCACCAACUCAACCAUUUCAAACAGGACCUAAUGCAUGCACUCUUUUGUUGUUGUGACAAUAACAACUCACAUUGUUACCCUAAAAUGAAUUUUCAACUUUCUUAAUUCAUUAUAUUACAGCCGAGGUUACUGCACAUCCCAAUUUUCUUGCAAACAUUAUCCCAACAUUGCAAUCAACAUACAAUAAAGCAAGUGAUAUCAAUAAUACAAAGUUAAUGAAUACCUUUAAUUUAAGGAGAAGUUCCAUGAAAUCUACUUAAAUGAUACACACUCCCUUGAAAUCUUCUUAAGUGACAUUCAUACUCCCUCUAGAUUUUAAUUAGACACUCACUUCUAUGGUGUUUUUAAUAAAGUAACACUUACCCUUUAUUUGAUUAAUAAAGGGACAAAUACACCCCUUCUUUGAUGCUACGAGAAGAAGAGUAUUUUUUUAAAACUAGAGGGGGUAAGAAAGAUAUGUGCAAUUUUCCCUCAAUGCAACAAUAAUUCUUUAAGAAAUGGCCAAGGGUUAACCCCCAUUCAGCUAUAGCAAACCACUAUUUUCCAACUCUUAGCUAUACUUCAUAUAUAACUUUGAAAGAGUAAUAUACCUUCAAUAUUCCAUCAAAAAAGUCAAUCCACAAUUAGUUAGAGGAUCCAAAAUAACCACAAAAGAGUUCAACAGAGAUAUUUAUUCUAAAGAGGUUUAGAGUCACGCAUAAUGGAAAGCAUCAAAUGGUCUGUGAUUGAGCCUCCAAUAAUAUAAUAUUCACUUCAACCUCCCCACUAGUUCUUCUAAACUAUGAAAACCUGCUAGAGAUUUCCCAUUCCUCUCCACCUAUCCAUAAGUUUUUAUUUUGUAACAUGUUUUGCAUGUUAGAUCACAUGCACCAAUCUCAAACACUCUGAAUCAAUUGUUUCAAAAUUAUUGUCGUACAAUUAUAAAUUAUAGAUAGGAUAUUUUGAGUUUUUAGAAAUUGACCAUGGAAGUUGCAGAAAAUUCAAUUGCAGUGUGGAUAAGAGUUCUUAUUUACCUCAUAAACAGUAAAUGCGACCUCAACUGGCCCAUUUGUGUACACUUCUGCCAUUAUAUCAUGGGGAUUAGAGUUGACCGUGUAGGCAUUGACACUAAAGUGCUUUGACUUCUUCCACAGCUGGUUCCCCCCAUCUACACAUUUUUUAACACACUUGGGAGUCC
rnacentral:lncRNA from 1 species